UUGAACGCUGGCGGCAUGCCUUACACAUGCAAGUCGAACGCGAAAGGGGGCAACCCUGAGUAGAGUGGCGAACGGGUGAGUAAUGCAUCGGAACGUGUCCUGUAGCGGGGGACAACCCCGAGAAAUCGGGGCUAAUACCGCAUACGUCCUACGGGAGAAAGUGGGGACCGCAAGGCCUCACACUAUAGGGGCGGCCGAUGCCGGAUUAGCUAGUUGGUGGGGUAAAGGCUCACCAAGGCGACGAUCCAUAGCGGGUCUGAGAGGACGACCCGCCACACUGGAACUGAGACACGGUCCAGACUCCUACGGGAGGCAGCAGUGGGGAAUUUUGGACAAUGGGGGAAACCCUGAUCCAGCCAUUCCGCGUGAGUGAAGAAGGCCUUCGGGUUGUAAAGCUCUUUCAGCAGGAACGAAACGGUCGGCUUUAAUAAAGUCGGCUAAUGACGGUACCUGCAGAAGAAGCACCGGCUAACUACGU
rnacentral:rRNA from 1 species